AAUUCUCAACCCCUUUCAAUUUGCUUUGAAAUGUGGGAUUGGACAGUGGAGGUCUUUGCCGGUGAAAAAGAGACAGGAGGGGUGGGGGCGGGCCUUUGUGGGCCUUCCUUCCCUUUCUUUAUCGUUUCGGCUCCUCUGAAAUGCAUUGGCAAAGGGCGGAGCCCUCUCUUUUAGUGAGCUCCCCUCCCUUGCCUCAACGUGAUAAUGAUCGUUGUGGCUUGGGCGUGGGGGGGCCGAGAGGGGUAAGCCUUGGGCCUAUAGCUAGUCGUAGUCACGCGACAAUUCUUUUGACG
rnacentral:misc_RNA from 1 species